UGCAGGAAGAAGAAGAAGAAGAGCCCGCCGCUCCGGCCGUCGCUUUUUUUUUUUCGGCGAAAAAAAAAGAAGAAUGAGAGAACGAAGAGAAGAGAGAAAAAGGAAAGAGAAAAAGUAAUAAGGAUAUUUUGGUCAGUUUGCUGAAAAAGCGGACCGAAUUUGCAAAAACGAAAAAGGUGGUCCGGUUUUGCAAAAGCCCAAAAUAAGUGAAUUUUUUAUGCAAAUUGGCCAUUUUAUAUCCCUGCUAUUUUUGUCAAUUAUAUAAA
rnacentral:lncRNA from 1 species